GGAGAUGUAUGGUGAUGGAAGGCUAAUCAUUGAAUCAACUAUCAAGCAUGCCACCUGAGAGACCCCUCAAGAAGAAUCUUAUCACUAAAUAUGUCAGAAUGUGUGUCUUUUGUUUUUGUUGUGAAAACAAAAAUAGACAUAAAGGUCCAUUUGACCCCAAUGAACUUCUUGAGACUAUUAUUUAUUAUAUGAUAUGAAAACAUGUGUGCAUAAAUCAAUCAGAACUCGGAAAACUCAUGAAUCCGUCUUUUUGUGUUAGAAUUUAAUCAAAAUAAUGAUAUACAUGUAUUGGUUUUGAGUACUAAGAGCAUAAUAAGUUUAUGAAAGAACUAAGAUUUUACUAUUGUGCAUCUCAUUUUUCUUCUUUCUUCCAUUUACUCUCCCCUCUCCCCCCCCCCCCCCCCCAAAAAAAAAAUAUGAAGAUUAAGCAUUAUCUUCUUUCUUAAAUUUUAAAAUAAGACAAGCUGGAUUAUAAUUAUGUUUAGUAAUGAAUAUACUUAUGUAUAUGUUUUAAAAUAAUGUGCUAUAUAGUUAAUUUAAAAAAUCUGGAUAGAUGUUAUUGAAAAGCUUAUCAGAUUUUAGAGAAAAAGAGUGGGGACUAUUUUGUGCUCAGAUUAUGAUGUUAUGAUCUAAAUUACCUUGCAUGAUUAAAAAAAAUCAGGAUUUUCCCUCAAAAUUAAUACAUGUACACUGUACAUCCCUUCUUAGACUUUAUACAAUAUUAGAAAUCAACGUUUCAUAAUGCUUCGACCAGUCAACUUUUAUAUUUCUUCACAUACUAUUGUGCAUGAAAAUAUUAUAAACCCUUGUAAGGAGUUCUCUGUGUAUAUAGUCCCCUGUAUUUAGUAUUAAUUUCAUAAAUAUGAUUGUAGAUAACUUGAAGAACACAAAACUUUAUAAACAUAUAAGUCUAAGUUGUUGAAGAAUUAUCAAACUGUUUAUAGUCAUUAAUUUUUUUACAAGACUGUAGGAUUUGUGUUUUCUUGUUUUAGUUUUUGAAAACAUAUUGAAAUAAAGGAAAAAUAAACAGUUUAUAUUGAGUCU
rnacentral:misc_RNA from 1 species